rnacentral:tRNA from 3 species
UGAAAGAUAAGCUAAAUAAAGCUAAUGGGUUCAUACCCCGUGAAUGAGGAUCAAAUUUCUCUCUUUCCA